rnacentral:rRNA from 1 species
UACGGGGGGGGCAAGCGUUGUUCGGAAUUACUGGGCGUAAAGGGCUCGUAGGUGGCCAACUAAGUCAGACGUGAAAUCCCUCGGCUUAACCGGGGAACUGCGUCUGAUACUGGAUGGCUUGAGUUCGGGAGAGGGAUGCGGAAUUCCAGGUGUAGCGGUGAAAUGCGUAGAUAUCAGGAGGAACACCGGUGGCGAAGGCGGGUCUCUGGGCAACAACUGACGCUGAGGAGCGAAAGCGUGGGGAGCGAACAGG